CCCAACCUCGCGCACGGGAGAAGCGAGCCUUCUUUCCUCCCGAUACCCCUCCCCUCCCGUUACCCCUAUCCUCCCGUCCCCUCAUCCCCUGCGCCGCCGGCCCUACCCGCACCGGCGACCCUCUGCAGCGCUCGGGGAGACGCGGCCCCUCCCGCGCGUGGAGCCGAGCGAGCUCGGAGCGCCGCGAGAUCCCGCGUGCCGUGCUCGCCCUGUUGCACGUCGGCCCGCCCCCGCCCCUCUCCUGUGCCGGCGGCCUUCUGCUGCACCGCCGCCCUCUCCUGGAAUCGCGCCGCCGCCGCUGUGACUAAGAUCUGCAGCACCGCCGGCCCCUAGUGGCGCCCUUGCCGUCCCCUACCUGGAGCAGCUCCGCACGGCCUCCGUGAACCCCCUGUGCGGCGCCCCUAAGCCAAGAUGGAAAAAUCAGGAAAGGUUGUAGCAAAAUGGGAUUCCUUUGCUGCCAAAGUUUUCAAUGAUAUCUGCUGCGAAGAAGUUCUUGCCCACAAUCGCCCUCAACAAUGUUUGAACAAUGUGGAAUAUGCAAAUCUGGUUCAGAAAUUUUAUGGCCCAGUUAUCCAGUUAACAAGCAGUCCAAGAUUAUAGUUGCUUGUAUGGCACUUCACAAUUUCAUUAGGGAAUAUGACUUAGAAGAUCCGCAUUUCGAAGAAGAUGUUGAAGAUGAUAGUCCUCAUCCCACUUAUGAUGACGAUGGUGGUACUGGAGAUGAUGUCGAUAUGAAUGCAUUUCGUGAUGCGAUCGCUACCGCUAUGGUUUCGUGACUUAGUUUAUAAAUUAGUUGUAUCCAUCAUUUAUGUACUCAAUGUUUAGAAAUUAGUGCUGGUACAUCUCUUGGGCUAAUUGUGAUAUUAAUCUAUUUGACCUAAUAGUAAUAUAAUUAUGUAGUCAAGAUUGUAAAAAAUUAUAAGAAUUAU